UUCCUUUCUCUCCCUCCUCUCCUUCCCUGCUGACUCCCCCGCCCCCUUCCCCCCAUGUGUAACUUUCUUGUAACUUUUUCCACCUCGAGCUCACCACCACAAAACCCAUUUGUUGCUUUUCUAGGGACUUGAAGUCCUUUCUUUAUCGGCUCAGAGACCUAAGUCAGGGAGGAACUUGCUCAAAAUAGCUAAGCCAAACUAUAGUUAGAUAUUUUACUCAGAAAGGCUUAAUUCUGGUCUUGCGGAAUGCAGAAUCCAUCCCGCCCCCAACCAUCACCACCUCCACCAAGAGACUGCGUUCUGUAACAUUAAAAGGUGAAAUAGCACACACAAAGCCCCUCCAAGUAAACAAUAGCCCCCAAGCCUCCAGAUGACGAGAUCGAGAGCAGACAGAUGAGAAACCAAGAAGGGUGUAAUUUGCACAGCCCACUGAUUAACCAGGAGCUGACUGCUCUGUAGAGACAGCACUUAGCAGUCAACCGUAGACAGCAUCAGCUGAGCUUUAAAAGGUGGGUUUUUGAUCACAGCAAAGAGAGACAAUGAACAGUGAUAAACAGUGAGCUUUUCAACCAUUAUCAGUCUUCAUGGCAGGACAGAGGGUGCGAUCGGAUCACUCGAAUCAAUGCUUCUAUUUAUUGAGCAUUUACUGUGUGUUGCGUGCUCUCUAUAGUAUCUCAUUUAAUUCUCUCCACCUACUAUCUCUGCGUCAGGACCUAGGAGAGCACUUUGCAACAAGGGAGGCAAGUUAUCCAAGGCCACUGAGCAUUUGAGAAAGAUGGGAUAUCAGAGGCAGGAGAUUAGGCGCUGAGGCUCUUGUUCUGACUCCUCCUCAAAGUCCACUGAGCGAGUCCUGCUGAUAGCGGGGAUGAGCAAAGCUCUCAGAAGGCCAUAGAUGUCUGCCUUGUUCCCUGUGUGAUCCCCAGAACACUGGCCAGCACAGUGUGGGUGCUCAAUAAAUAUUUGGAAUGAUUGACAGAUCAGGUACAGCCUCUGAAGAGGUGAGCUACAGUUCCAGAGUGUGGGGGUGGGGGGACUUACUUUUCACCAAAACCUCCUGUACUUUGGGAAUUUUGAACCAUGUGCAUUUAUCACCUAGUCAAAACAAAAUGAAUAAAGUCAAUAAAACAAAACAGAACACAGGCACUGCAGAUCAAUCAGAUGGGCCACAUGUUCUGUCUACUACAAACACAUACGUGACAGACACAAGCCUGCCAGGCAUGCAUCAGGGUGGACAUGUGUACCAGUGGACACCCAAGCAAAUAUGGACAGGAAGCUCUCCCGCCUCACUUGCUUCUGAAGGAAAUGGGACACACAAAGAGAAAGAACACAGGAAGACAAAAACACAAUAUCCGCGUGCCACUCCGAAAGCCGUAUGCAUCAGGAGGAAUCUGGAAGUUUGUACUGGCCACAAAUCCCAGAGCUCAGUUUGGAAAACCAUUGAACUUAACAUUUUACUAGUCAAUUACAGCCAUCUGCUAGGCCUGUGGACUGUGCCAAACUAGGUCUCCUUCCUGGGGGGAAUUCUGGAAUCGUGAAUAUGCCAACUUCAGAAAUAGCAGCCUUCCAUCACAUGCAGCAUUUCUUACUGUUUACGUCAAGUUUCAGCAUACACAGCAGGCUCUCUCGGCUGGCUGUGAUGUCAUCGGUCUGUGAACUAACCACACUGAAUAUCCAGGUAGUAGAGCCAACUAUUGUGCUGAAGGCACCCAGUCUCCAAUACAGAGGGCCAGGAACCGGAUCGUGGUGUGGAUACCACACUGCCGCUGGUCAGUGCUGUCCAUCUGACAGACUGAGCACACUUUACAACAUGUGUGCUUCAUUUAACCCUCGCUGGUUUCUAUUUAUUUAGUGCCUCUAUGUGUAUGUCACAAGUCCGAGGGGAUCUUUGGAGUCCAGAAGAGGGUGCUGGCUACACGUGGGUGUGAUCUGAGUGGUGGGAACUGAACUCAGGUCCUCUGGAAGAGCAGAAAGGAUUCUUAACCAUGUGGUGCCAUCUCUCCCAGCCCUGUCCCUCACCCCUUUUAUGAGUGACAGGCAAAUGCAUUAGCUCACCUCCUCAAGCUCUCUUGUCAAACCGUGGGCAGAGUCUGGGCUGGAACAGACAGUUGCCCAAUCCCUAACUCUAUGUAUCCAUACAACAAUGGCAGAGGGGGAGCAAGUGAACUGCAGAUCACCCGCGGGUGCUCACAGGAAGGUGCCACAUGUGAUGGAGAACUUUGCCAGGGUUGAAUGGUGGGUGUGUCCGUGAAGAGGGUAGUGAGGAGCUGACCUCUGCUGGCUACAGGUCCCAGCACAGGGUGGCAAGUAUGGGUGUGCCCCGAGGACCUUGGGCAGCAAGCUUGAUGGAAGCCACAGCAACUGGGCAGGGGAACACUGGUUGAACCAUAGUUUAAGGUCCCUGGGCAUGGGUUUUAGAGUAACUAUGGCUAGCAGGCAACAUCUAUCCAUUGGCACACAUGCAGUUAUUUUGUUGAGACACUUCUCUUUUUAGACUGAAAAAAGGGAACUGAUUUCUGCAAGUUGUCCUUGGAUAUCUACACUUGUUCAUACACGCGAGCGCGCACACACACACACACAUUUCAAAAAAUGUAACAAGAAACAAGAUCUGUUAUACACUUUUUUGCUGAUGAUUAAUAAGGACUAUAAAACAUAGAUUAUAUAUUUCUUAACACUUUUCAUUAAAUCAAACCAUAUUUAAUCUCUAUAAUCUCAUCUAACUGUCAGAGAAGGCAGUUCAGCCUAGGGCUUAGGAUGCAGUUCAGUUGGCAGAGACUUAGGGUCUAUCUCCCACCUCUGUGCGUCUAAUAAACUGGAUGUCAUGGCACAAGGCUGUAAUUCCAGUACUCGGUAGGUGAAGGCAGAAGGUCAGAAAUCCCAAGUCAUUCUUAACUAUAUAGUGAGUUCAAGACUGGCCUGAGGGGCUGGAGGAAUGGGCCUAGCACUUAAGAGCACCAGCUGGCUGGAGAGAUGGCUCAGUGGUUAAGAGCACUGUCUAUUCUUCCAAAGGUCCUGAGUUCAAAUUCCAGCAACCACAUAGUGGCUCACAACCAUCUGUAAUGGGAUCUGAUGCCCUCUUCUGGUGUUUCUGAAAACAUCUAUAGUGUACUCGUAGACAUAAAAUAAAUAAAUCUAAAAAAAAAAAAGAGCACCAGCUGCCUUUCCAGAGGACCUGGGUUUCAUUCCUAGAACUUGUCUGGCACCUGAAAACCAUGUGUAACUCCAGGUCCGAUUCUGGGUCCCUUGGACACCAGGGAUGCAUAUGAACAGAUACAUAUGCAAGAAAAACACCCAAAUACAUAAAAUAAAAAUAAAUCUAUCUUAAAAAAUAUUGAACUUGGUUACCUAUGUUCCUGUCUCAACAUAUAAAUAAGUGAGUAAUGAAUUUACAGCCUAGAAAAUCCAAACAACAAAGACACUCAUAUGAUGCACUCCUUUAUCUUCUAUUGUUUCAUCCUUAAUAAUCAAGAAAGCAGGAAGGAAGCCUGGUGUGCUGGCACAUGUCUUUAAUCCCAGGACUCAGAGCCAGAGGCAGGCAGAUCUCUGUAAGUUCAACAUCAGCCUGGUCUACAGAGUUCCAGACCAGCCAGACAAACACAGUAAGAUCGUGCUUGAAACAAAACAAGCAAGCAGAGAAGUGAACAGGAAGCACAGAAGGAGAGGAGAGGAGAACAGAACCCGGAUGCGCCCAGACUUUCGUUCCCAAUGCUAACUCUAGUGUAGUUAUGCAACAGCGGAUAAGAAGUUACUUAGAUCCCAGUUCUCUCUCUCUCUCUCUCUCUCUCUCUCUCUCUCCCUCUCCCUCCCCCUCCCCCUCCCCCUCCCCCUCUCUCUCUUUCUGUUCUUCAGUUGGAAGGUAGAACCUGUGUUCGCUCAUGCAAGGUUACUGUACUCAGAGAGGCGGGAGAAGACUGGAGGUGGGUGGGAUUUGUAAUUUGGGCUUUAAGUGGCAUCUAGGCCCUUCUAGAAGGCACACCACACCAUCAAGCACACCAAUUGAGGACCCUGUAAUGGGUCAGGGGCAUGGCUCGAAGCAGAAGGUCGGGGGUGGGGGACUGAGUAGCUCUGCCUCCCUCUUCUCUACCUGUCUCCUCUACUAUAGAUCAGCAAAUGGUAGGGACUUUCCUUGAACCUUUGGCUUCUAACAUGUCUCGGCAGGCAGAGUUAGCCACCGAGACCAUAAAGUAAAUGGUGGAAUACAGUAUCUUUUCAUUGUCUGUCUCCAAAAAAAGGGGACAACUGUUGGCUAACUUAGUGGUGGGCUAAACAGGUGAUUCUAGAAGCCAGAAGAGCUGAGGCAUCAUCAGGGAACCACCUGUUCCACUCAUCUAGUCCCUAGAUCUUGGCUUAAGAUUCUGGCUUUGUAGGUGGCCACAGAGGAAGAAAGGGGUUUGACUGGCCAAGUUCACACCCCUCUGAAACAAUGAACUGCAAUUACCUCAUGGAAUAAAUGACUCUGUUCAGGUGAUCGAUUUUUUUUUAAGAGUACAAAGUCGAUUCCCUUCUUUGCUUUUAAGGAUUCUGUUCCUUGUAGCCAGGGUGUGUUUCUCUUUUAAAACCACGCAGCAGUUCAUGGCUCCCUAAUCCGGGCUGCAGAGUGUCUGAGGUCGGCACACAUGACUCAGUGCUGGACGCUUUCCCAACGGGGCAGUGAGAAUGUCCCCCGUGAUCUUGGCUGGGUUAAUAAACAAACCCAUCCCAGAAGAGAAAAGGGAUUUGGUGUCUCUCCUACAGAGGGGUGGAAAGAGCAAGCAGAGUAGACUCUGUCAUUUUUCUCAUGGUUGCAAUGCUUGACCUGGAUGUAGAAACUCCCCUGUGUUACCUCCCUUAGGACUAAGUGUCACGAUGACUUGGGCAUAAACUUUUAAGCUGAGGAUGGAAUCCAGAUAGUAGGGAGUGUGAAAUCACUUUCCUGAUCCCAUUACGUCAAACCUAAGCCACUGGUAAAGUUGACUGGACCACGACUCAGCUGCCAGCGACAAACUCACUCUAUGAAAUCAGAACCAGAACACUGGCAGGAUUAGAACACUGACUGCUAUUUGCAUGCAGCACUAUCAUGCCAACUUGUUCUCUUCCUGUGCUUGUAUGUCCUUAUGUGUACAAAACCUAUAUGUGUAAAGAAAUCAUGCAGCCCAGAAGAUAGGCGGUGACAUCAUUCCUCAGAAACUGUCCACUGUUCCGCUCCCACUGGCCCAGAGCUUACUCAUCUGACUAGAUUGGCUGACCAAGCAUUGCAACCAUGAGAAAAAUGACAGAGCCUGCCUCUGCUUGCUCUUCCAUGUGCACCAGAGCAGGGCAUCAGAUCCUAUUGCAGAUGGUUGUGAGCCACCAUGUGAUUGCUGGCAAUUGAACUCAGGACCUCUAGAAGAGCAGUCAGUGCUCUUAACCUCUGAGCCAUCUCUCUAGCCCCCCAUUUUUUUAAUGUGGCUUCUGGGUAUCAAACACAGGUCCUCUCUAAGUGAGCUACCUGUUCAGUCUUGUCUGUGCAUUCUUUCUUAGCUAUCCAUUUUACACCAAACCCACUCUAGCCCUCCUUCACCUCAGUUCUUUCAUUAUCUGGGUAUAGAGCAUGAGAACCCAUUAUUAGGUAAGGAAGGUCCAGGUAAACAGCCCGCAAAGGGCCCACUGUGUGGCCCAAACCUGAGAUCUCUUUGUGCACUUAAACUGUCACCACUAAACCAGGUGGAAAACACACACCUCUUGGUUUGUUUCCAGCCUAUUCCUCAAAGGUAUAUACAUACAAGUCCACACCGCAUGAGGCCUCUAUUCUUACCAGAGCUCAGCCUGGGGAAGUCACAGGAUUAGCAACAUCACCCUCUGUUUCUCUCACCAUCCCUUGUUCCCAGAUGCUCAGCGCUCUGCCUCCCCUUGCCCAUUCAUCCAUGCUAUUCCCUGGGUCCAGCAUCCAACUUCUCAGCAGUAAGGAUGCUAACAGUGGGAGAGAGGCUAAGAGUGGGAAGCUUGGCCCUUCUACUGCAUGGGUCAGGUCAUCAGGUCAGGAUGCUCAGGUGGACAGGCAGGGAAAGGGAAAAAAAAGAGGAGCAAAAGAGUCUGCAAAGUUACAGUUCAUUUGGGCCAGUAAUUAACUGUCUGCAGUGCAGGCACUUGUAGCUUCAGGCUAUCUGUCCAUCAGGCAGUGCAUGGGUAGUUCCUGAACCUCACUCGACCUUAGCUUUACGGGGAGAAACAUACUGUGUAUCUUUCCUAUCCUAUAUUACAGCUCUGAGCUCAAAUCUGUGACUCUCUCCUCAAUGCCAUGAGUGGAUGUGGUUGGUGUUGAGCUAACUCCCCAUUACUUAUGUAUGCUCCCCUGACUCUCUCUCUCUCUCUCUCUCUCUCUCUCUCUCUCUCUCUCACACACACACACACACACACACACACACACAUUUUUUGAGACACAAUUUCUCUGUGUGUAACCCGAUCUGGAAGUCACUCUGUAGAUGAGGCUGGUCUCGAACUUAGAGAGAUCUGUCUGUCUCUGCCUCCUGACUGCUGGUAUCAAAAGCAUGCACCACCAUCAACCAGCUGAUUCCUACUUUCAGAGAAAGUUUCUCUGAUGGAUGCUAUAACUGGAACCUGCUCUCCCAGAUUCUUCCUCCCCCCAUCCCUUACCACACCCUCCGUAUACCCUUUAGCAGUCUUCUUCCUCUUCUACGUCAGUAUACAUAGAAGUUUCCAGACCUGGGUUACUUCCUGUGCUCUGUAUUGAUGCCCGCAUCUACCAAUGUCUGGCACUACCACCCUGCGUCCUCUUCUGUGUGCACAGCUGAAUGUAAUUUGGGGACUCGGAACAUCUGUGUCUGACUCCUACCAGCCUACCUCCCCAACAACCGCUCUGCUACAACCUCUGCUGGUCCAAAUUCCAGCCAUUCUUCAACAUGUUUUCUUCCAGGGUCCUUCAGAGGAUGUUAGGAAUCUCUCAAAUUUCCCUACCUACACCGUGAUCGCCUCUGCUGCGAUGCCUCUGUGGGUAUGAAAUCUCGCCAAGAGAACUAAAUUCAAAUCCCAGCUUUCUGGACAAUGUAAAGCUGUGGACAUACCACACACCUGCCUGAUGCUCAAGGUAAAUUAGGACUCAUAACAAGUUCAGUGCGGGCUCUAAUUGCGACUAAAUAUAACUUGGGAGAAUAAUUGUAAUAAGAAUAGCCUGGAGUUACUUUGAGAGACUUAAACAUGACAGAGUCAGUAAAUGACACUCAACAAGAUUUUACUACUUGUGAACUCUAGGCUAUACCUUUUAUUCAAGAUCACAUUGAAAACCUAAAUGAGCCAUGUCCUCAGGGGCUUCUGGCCUUAUUACCACACCAAAGCCACGUUAGAGGUUGAGAGCAAAGGCUUUGGCUAUUAGCUCGACCUGUGUGUGAUUUUAAUCUGUGUUCCUUGAUUGGAGCCUGGCCCGAGCUGUGACCCAGCUAUGUGAAGCUAAGGUGGUAGAUGCCUUUAAACAAGGACAGCUGUGACCGGGUCUCCAGACUGCAACAGUGGCCAGCAUAGAUCUACUCUUGUACAGCAGGCUGUCCAGUUUGAAAGAAAUAAACAAAAUGAAUCACAUGCUAAAAUUACAGGCUGGGGAUGAAAUCUAGCCUCUUGCCUGUUUCCAUAAAUACUUUCAGAGUCCCAUGGCCACACCUGGGUGUGUGGGCAAAGAUUUUGGGCUGUUUGUGUGCACAGAGGGAAAUAAGAUGGAGCCUAGACAGUUGAACUCUGAGAAUAUUUAUCACCGACCAUUUACAGAACUACUCUAUACUUACGUGCCUGAAACAAAGGACUGAUUCUGUUAGGAGGCAGAACCAGGAAGGGCUCUAAAAACAUGAUCUGAUGCAAGUCGAGAGAGGCAGAUCUGUAGACCUUAGGUAGGGACUUAGAUGAGCCUAAGGACAAGGGAAUGCUGAGAAGUUUGUGUUAUCUGUUUGUCUCUACAUUAUUCUUUUGGAAUGUAUUUGUAUCGUGAGGGAACAACAGCUACUUCUAUUGUGAGGUACACACGCACAAAAGUGCACAUCAGCACACUGUCAUGAAAUAAACACCAUCCAGGCCAAGAACCAGAUCACUGAUCUCUCUGCUCCUCCAUCGGUAUGCACCCCUCAUCUGAUCCCAGCCCAUCCUCCCUUCUUGUGGAGACCACUUGCUUUAAAAUAGCCUUUCCAUUGUAGUUUUCUUUUUCUGCUGUUGCUUUGGCUUUUAUUCUGAGACAGGGCUUUGCUAGGUAGCCCAGGCUGGCUAAGAACUUGGGUUCCUUCUGCCCCUGCCUUCUGAGUGCUGGGGUCACAGGUGUAGUACAUAUGUUGCCACAUCCAGCAAUUGUCUUCUUGUCUUCUUCUUCUUCUUCUUCUUCCUUCUUCUUCUUCUUCUUCUUCUUCUUCUUCUUCUUCUUCUUCUUCUUCUUCUUCUUCUUCUUCCUCUUCCUCCUCCUCCUCCUCCUCUUCCUCCUCCUCCUCCUCCUCCUUCCCCUCCUCUUCCUCCUCCUUUUCUUCCUCUUCUUUCUCUUUUUCUUUUAUUAUCUCACUAUGCAACUUUACAAUACUGGCUUAUUGAUGUGUGUGUGUGUGUGUGUGUGUGUGUGUGUGUGUGUGUGUGUGUGUAUCUGGCUGCCUUUCUAUAACCUACAACUCCACCUCUGGACCUAUAGAUCUAUUCUCUCCUGAGGCAAACACCUAUGCAUAUCAAGAGGGUAUCUGUAAACAGAAGGCUUCCUUGCAAUAGCUUCAAGCUGGAAAGAACCCACAUUGCCAUCUACAGGAGGGCAGAGACCUUAGUUGGGUUAUUGUAAGUUCUUGGUGGGGUGUUACACAAACAUGAAAAUGAACACGUUACAAUUACCCAACAACAGGAGUGAAAGCCCAGGAGGGUCAAGCUGGGAGGCAGAAGAAAUGUAGAGUUGUAAGGACCUCUUUAGAAGCUGGGUGCACAGCUGAGCAUUGGGGGUUGGUCUGGUGCUGCUAUGUAGUCAAAAUGCUAAAUUCUGUACCCCAAGAUCUGGUUGCUCCCAAAUUCUUACAUAUACAUUGCCUUUAUUGUAUAAACCUUGCUCCCCAAUUUAAAGCUAUUGGUUAAAUAAAAGUGGCUACAACCAACGGCUGGGGAGGACAGAGGUAGGUGGGUCUUUGGUUACUGGGCUUGGGGAGUCACAGGUAGGGACCUUGAAGAGAAAGAGGGUAGGAAGAGAGAGAAGGAGGAGAAAGGAGGAAAAGGGGGAGGAAGGAGGAAAAAGGGGAGGAGGAGGAGGAGAAGAAGAAAGAAGAUGGAGAAAACGUGAGGUCUCCAUUAGAUGUAGUGGACCAAGAGCAGGUGCCCAAGUGAUGGAGCAGAAAUAACAAAGGUGAGACUCCAACAGCAAGUAUUUGGGGACCACAACUAAGGAAGUAGCCAGUUUAGUGUUAGAAAAUAGAUUAGGGGGGCUGGAGAGACAGCUCAGUGUAAGAGCACUGACCGAUCUUCCAGAGGUCCUGAGUUCAAUUCCCAGCAACCACAUGACGGCUCACAAGCACUUGUCCGAUGCCCUCUUCUGGUGUGUCUGAAGACAGUGACAGUGUACUCAUAUACAUUAAAAUGAAGAAAGAAUAUAGAUUGGAGAUAAUUCCCUCAAUAAUUGUGCUAAAGCUGAAUAAGUAAAUCUUAGCCUCAGUCUCAUUCAAUCUAGCUUCCAAAUAAAUAGAAAUACGUAUGUUAAUUUACAGCUAAGUCUACGGGGUUAGAACAAAUGACAGCUACACAAAAGGCACCCGCUGGAUCCUGCCACAGGGAAGCUCCUGAGCUGGUGACAAUGGAGAGGAGAAGGCAGACUUGAGAGGUUCUAUGGAUGCAGAAACAGAGCAGAUAAGAGUUCCUGGCUGGCUGGACAUGAACGUGAGACAAGGGAGACUCUGGAGCUUCUGCGUGGGGGUUAGGCUACGUGGGAGGUGAAGAAGCUUGCAGGAGAUGAUGUUCUGGAAGGAAACACUUAGGGUGUGAUGGAUUGAUUAUCUGUGAGGGUCUACGUGGAAAGGCACAGUGUGGAAGAGCAGUUAGCCGUGGCUCAGAGGUCAAGGGUACUGGCUGCUGUAGUACAGGGUCUAGCUUUGGUCCCCAGCACCGAUGAUAGGCAGCUCUUAACUACCUGUAAUUCCUCCUCCAGGGGAAUCAAAGUUCUCUUCUGGCCACUGUAGGCACACGCUAACACACGUAUACACAUAAAGCAAAGCCAAAUCUUUAAAAGAAUGGAGAAGGACCAUUGAGCUCCCAUGUGCAUGUGAGCAUCGCUCUGUCCUUCUGACCUUCUGAAGUAAAGGACCAGAUGCUUCAAGCCCCUGAUGGUUUGGCUCGGUGGACUGAAACCUGGAACUUCCAGCUCAAGCAAACCCUCUCACCUUUAAGUUACUUUUGCAAGAGUUUUUGUUUUGUUUUAUUUAUUUAUUUAUUUAUUUAUUUAUUUAUUUAUUUAUUUAUUUUUUUAUCACGGCAACUGAAAUGACGCUGAGACAGGGUCUUCCCUUCUAGGUUUUCAAAGUUAUCAUUUUGAGCUUACCUCCAGGACACACGAGCAGCUAAUGAAUGUCCAUUUGAAAGGUAAGCAGAGAAACCCCAGUGGGGGGGAAAAUGAAGAGAGACACUGCCCACGAGGUAUUCCCCAAAAUGCUAAAAUUUGGGUAGGAGCAGUUCCCACUGGUCCUAUCAACAGUAACACCAUGCCCCGCCCUCCUCCUGCCUCCUGGUCCUAUCAACAGUAACACCAUGCCCCGCCCUCCUCCUGCCUCCUGGUCCUAUCAACAGUAACACCAUGCCCCGCCCUCCUCCUGCCUCCUGGUCCUAUCAACAGUAACACCAUGCCCCGCCCUCCUCCUGCCUCCUGGUCCUAUCAACAGUAACACCAUGCCCCGCCCUCCUCCUGCCUCCUGGUCCUAUCAACAGUAACACCAUGCCCCGCCCUCCUCCUGCCUCCUGGUCCUAUCAACAGUAACACCAUGCCCCGCCCUCCUCCUGCCUCCCCAGAGGUUAGCUAAUCUUUCUGGCUCCCUCCCAGGCUCAGAAAGCCACUCACAUAAUGGCUCUGUAUCUUCUUAUGAUUACCAGAGAGAUUGGGCAAGCAGGACCGUUCCUGGUAGGCCGAGCCAGCUUCACACUUCCCAGACCGGUCCUUCAGACUCCCCUUCAUUUUGGAUUAUGCCAAAGCAAAUUAUAUUUACUCUCUCCUGAGUGAGAGUGCUCUAGGAGGAUUACAAAAAGUCCUUUCUCUGAGGGCCAGAGACAUGGUUCAGUGGGUGAAGAUGUUUGCUGACAGCCACCCCCCUCCCCAUACUACAAAUUUUAGAAAAUUCUUUGCCCGAGUUCUUAAAAUCUACCCAAAACUCUAUCUGUACUUAACUGCCUUUGACCAUGUGCCCUGGCCUGCUUCAUCUUCAUACUAAGAUAGUGGGAAAGAGGCUUAUUUCUAUUGUCAUGUCAGUAAAUUCUUUAAAAAUAUUAUUAGCCACAGGGGUGUCUGUGUGUGUGGUAUGUGUAUGUGUCUGCGUCUGCGCUGUUUGUCAAUGUGUGGGAUGUAUGUGUGGGUGGUAUGUGGGUGGAGUAUGUGGUGUGUGUGUGUGUGUGUGUGUGUGUGUGUGUGUGUGUGUGUGUGUGUGUAGGGCAACAGGAUUCUUCCUUGUACGUUGAUCACCUUAUUCACUGUUGUAAGGUGGUCCAGCUGUCCAGUUGACUUGGGGGAUCUCCUGUCUCUUCUCUCUAAGCACUGGGAUUACAGUUAGGCCCUCACACUUACUUGUGAGCUCUGGAGAUCUGAACUAGCCAAACUCUCAGGCACACGGGGGCAAGCAAUUUAAUUGCUAAACCAUCUCCCUAGCCCAUAAUAUCACUACUUUGUGAAGAACACGAUUUGUUCUUUCUCUUAAAUACACACUUGGUUUGGCAUGUAUUUGUGUGUGUGUGUGUGUGUGUGUGUGUAGGGGGGCUCACAUGUGUGUGUAGCUCUGAGGGUGAUAUUAGAAGUCUUCCUGAGUUGCUCUCCACCUGAUUCUCUGAGGCAAGUACUCACCAGAAAUCAGAGGUCUUUGGCAUGUCUAGUACAGCUAAUCUGCUUGUCUAGGGGGUGCCAUAUAUCUGACUCCAUGGUCAGGUCUAGGAUUUCAGGGAGAUGCCUUGCCCACUCUGCAUUUAUGGGAUUCUAGGGAUCCAACCUCCAGGUCAUCACAUUGAAUGGCCAGCUCUUUCUCUGUGAACCUGUUCACCAUACACUUUUAAAAACCAACGAACAGUGUGAACAACCCAGACUUUAAUUCGUUGAACAUCGAAUGUUCCUGGAUCAAGAAUGCGCUGAAUGAUGUCCUCACUGUCCAAGAGAAAGCAAGCACCCCGCCUUGCUAUGUAGUUCUGUAUUGAUCAGACUACAUCUCCAGCCUUGAGCUCCAUUUUAGACACGCAGAUUCCUGAUGGACAUAUAUGAGUGGAAGCGCACACUGGAGAAUGACCCUUUUGAGGAGGGGAACAGUUAGAGGAAGUGCCUGUGACUGGCCUGAACUGGAGACAAAGAUGAAAACUUUGAGAUACUUUCUAACACCUGGAAGAAAGAUGACUCAGCAUGCAAAGGUGCCUGCUACUGAACCUGAUAACCUGAGAGUUUGAUCUCUCAGGUUCUACAAGGCACAAGGACAGAACUAACUCACAUGUAGUCCUCAGACCGCUGUAUAGUACCUACCGUCUGUCACGCCCCAAUUCUAAAUAAAUAACGAAACCUAAUGUAUGCAUCAGCCUGGCCAAAUAUAUCAGAGCCAGAAUUUCUAGAUAGAAGUUAGGAGUUCAAGGAAGUAGGGAACUUUUAUUUUAUUUAAUUUUUAACUUUUAUUUGUUUGUUUAGUUUUGGGUUUUUAUGACAGGCUUUCUCUGUGUAGCCUGGCCUGUUCUGGAACUUGCUCUGGAGACCAGGCUGGACUCGAACUCAUAGAGAUCCCACCUCCUACCUCUGCAUCCUGAGUGCUAAGGAUUGAAGGUAGCUGAGGCAGGGGACUUUUAAAGUUUAUUUAAAUUGAAGAGGGAAAUUUGAGACAUUUGGGCAAAGAUUGUUCUAGCAUAAAAUCUAGCUACAGGGAUGUUCAAAUAGACUGACCUUCAGGACAUUUUGUGGUAGCUAGUUCAAAAUCCAAAUAGCGCCAACAAUCCAUUAACAUACCCUCAGAGGACAAAACAAAGAGUUUAAAGAAAGACAAAAUGAUAAGUAUAAGCCACUCUGAAUUUCAAGUUUGCAAAUAUAAAGGAAAUGACUCUCAUUUCUUUUUUUUUUUUUUUUUUAUUUUUGGUUUUUUGAGACAGGGUUUCUCUGUAUAGCCAUAGCUGUCCUGGAACUCACUCUGUAGACCAGGCUGGCCUCGAACUCAGAGAUCCGCCUGCCUCUGCCUCCCGAGUGCUGGGAUUAGAGACAUGCGCCACCACUAUGCGCCCAGCUAUGACUCUCAUUUCUACUUUAUUAACUAAAUUAAAGUUUAGAGAUCCCACUUUCUCUUGCUUUGAAACUAUUUGAUAACUGAUCCAUAUAAACAAAGCAGUCCAUUCAAACUCGGCCUCUCAUCAGGGUGGUAAUCUUGGCUAUUUUGUUAAAAGAGGAGAAAAAUGGCUAUCAGUGACUGUCAUAUUGUAUUUCAUGGGACUUUCACUUAGGAAACAAACUUUGACCUGUUUUGUUGUACACAGGGAAAACAUCACUUUUUUUCUUAAACCACGUUACAUGCACAUGAGUGUGAAAUAUGUCAAGAAAAUGUACUGUAAUAGCACAGAACCGAGAGACACUCGAACUCUCACAAGGACACGACUGGCAUCAGGUAGGAGAGAAAAGAGAGGUAAGCACACUAUUGAGAAAGAAGCCUGUAAAAUGAAAAGUGUUAAAGCCAGUUAUGAUGGACAGUCAAGAAUCCUGACACAACUUCAAGAUUGCCCUUCCUAUGCCCAUCCAGCCACCAGCAUCUCUGUGUGCCAGUCUAAGUGGCUUAGAGGAUGCCACCGAGAUUACAGCCUCUUGGCAUCAGGUAGAUUUUCACACUACUUAUGCUCCCAGUGAAUUUGUGCAA